GGGCCCUUAGCUCAGUUGGUUAGAGCAUGCGACUCAUAAUCGCCAGGUCGUCGGUUCGAGUCCGACAGGGCCCACCA
rnacentral:tRNA from 1 species